GACCUGGUGGUGUAGUGGUUACACAUCUGCUUUCAAUAUUCGUCUUCCGAACAAUUUAUGCAGAGGUGCCUCGUUCGAAUCGGGGUCAGGUCG